UGACAUUAUCUGAGAUCAUCCCAUUCUAUGGCAGUUAUGUUUCUGGCCCUUGCCUCACCAACCCAUGGGUUACCAUAGGAACAGUCAUAAACAUUACGGCAUCAUCACCAUUCCAUUGGCUAUUCCUUAACAGACACUUGAUCAGUUAGGAGUAGUAGAGGUCCUCUUCCCAGUGACUAGAAAAUAUACUUCCUCAACCAACUUAGUCACCAUGGCAGCAAAAGUCUCUUCUGUUGCUAAAGGAUUUGAGUGCCAUCUUAAAGACCCUGCUGGGGAGCACAGCCAGAGUAGCAGAUUCUCCCAGUUCCCUUCUACUUCUCCAUUCUUUUCCCUGCAGAGCCAUUUUCUGAGAAUAUUAAGACACUCCACACAGAACCCCCGGGUGAGUGAUGAACAGAAACAAGCAGGCACAAAAACAACAGAGACAACUUGGUUUUUGUUCUUGCCUUUCCACCAGUUUCGGUGAACAGGAAGCAGGAAGAACUAGCCAACUGGACAAUGGCUCCUGCCAGGAUCUUUUGAUGAUGGCUGUCCCUCCCCUGACCCCCUGUCUGUCUGUCUGUUCAUUUGUUUAACUCACAUACUGCCCGAUAAGUGAUGUGGGUGGCUGUGUGCACCUGGUUCCACCUGAGCAGGUCAGCAUCAAGCUACCAGCCAAGGAAACGUGGCAUUUAUUGGUUGCUUUCUCUGCACACACCUCACUGAAAUGAUCUGUGAGGUGCUUUAAUGCUCAGUUAUUUCAGUGGGGAUGCACAGGAGUGCAUCCCCAAAGACAGGUCUGCAUGCUUCUCAUGCCGCAUGGCAGGACUGGGCUAGGUAAGGACAGUGUCCUUGGAGAGUCCUCAAGAUUCUGUUCUCUCUUUCAACACCAAGUGUCUCUUCCCUGGCUAAAGAACCCAAGGUGACCAAAGGUCAGCUGUCCGAUGAUCCUAUCCAAGCUCAAGGCCUCAAGGGUCCCCAAAUCAAGACUGCCCUGACAGUCAUCCUUGAGGACAUCAGGAAAGAUGGGUGGAUUGACAAAGAAGAGUGGCUGAAGGUGAGCAGCAAGGCACUAAGACUCCAAUAUAGAGAAAAUCUCCUGGUCCCAAAUGCCAGCCUGACCCCCUCCAAAAAAAAUAAUAAAAAUAAAAAUCUCAGAGGACUCA
rnacentral:lncRNA from 1 species